rnacentral:rRNA from 1 species
AACUACGUGUAUUAUAUACUUAGCUUGCUCUGCUCAAUGAGUAUUUAAAUAGCCGCAGUACCCUGACUGUGCAAAGGUAGCAUAAUCAGUUGGCUCAUAAUUGGAGUCUUGUAUGAACGAGUGCAUGGGCAUAACCUGUCUCUGGGUAAUAUAUAGAACUUUUUGAGUAAGUGCAAACACUUACAACCAACUAAAAGACGAGAAGACCCUAGAAAUUUUCUACAAAAAGAAUGAUAACCCUUUAAUAUUUUGCUGGGGCGGCAGAGUAACACCAUAACUUGCUCUAUAGGUUUGACUUUUAUUUACGGUUAAAACAUAAUUACUCUAGGGAUAACAGCGUAAUUCUUUGGAGCUUGCGACCUCGAUGUUGGACUAGGGAGGAAAGCACCCAGAAGGUACUUUCCAACGUUCUGUUCGAACGGGGACCCCUACAUG